GAUGAACGCUGGCGGCGUGCCUAACACAUGCAAGUCGAGCGAUUUCUUCGGAGAGAGCGGCGGACGGGUGAGUAACGCGUGGGUAAACUGCCCUGUACACCCGGCUAACAUACCGAAAGGUAUACUAAUACGGGAUAACAUAUGAAAGUCGCAUGGCUUUUAUAGCAAAGCUACGGCGGUACAGGAUGGACCCGCGUCGGAUUAGAUAGGUGGUAAGGUAAAGGCUUACCAAGGCAACGAUCAGUAGCCGACCUGAGAGGGUGAUCGGCCACACUGGAACUGAGACACGGUCCAGACUCCUACGGGAGGCAGCAGUGGGGAAUAUUGCACAAUGGGCGAAAGCCUGAUGCAGCAACGCCGCGUGAGCGAUGAAGGCCUUCGGGUCGUAAAGCUCUGUCCUCAAGGAAGAUAAUGACGGUACUUGAGGAGGAAGCCCCGGCUAACUACGUGCCAGCAGCCGCGGUAA
rnacentral:rRNA from 1 species